ACCUGGCUGGCUUAGUUGGUAGAGCACGAGACUCUUGAUCUUGGGUUACAAGUUCAAGCCCCAUGUUGGGUG
rnacentral:tRNA from 1 species